rnacentral:rRNA from 1 species
AAGUCGUAACAAGGUCUCCGUAGGUGAACCUGCGGAGGGAUCAUUACAAGAACGCCCGGGCUUCGGCCCGGUUAUUCAUAACCCUUUGUUGUCCGACUCUGUUGCCUCCGGGGCGACCCUGCCUUCGGGCGGGGGCUCCGGGUGGACACUUCAAACUCUUGCGUAACUUUGCAGUCUGAGUAAACUUAAUUAAUAAAUUAAAACUUUUAACAACGGAUCUCUUGGUUCUGGCAUCGAUGAAGAACGCAGCGAAAUGCGAUAAGUAAUGUGAAUUGCAGAAUUCAGUGAAUCAUCGAAUCUUUGAACGCACAUUGCGCCCCCUGGUAUUCCGGGGGGCAUGCCUGUUCGAGCGUCAUUUCACCACUCAAGCCUCGCUUGGUAUUGGGCAACGCGGUCCGCCGCGUGCCUCAAAUCGUCCGGCUGGGUCUUCUGUCCCCUAAGCGUUGUGGAAACUAUUCGCUAAAGGGUGUUCGGGAGGCUACGCCGUAAAACAACCCCAUUUCUAAGGUUGACCUCGGAUCAGGUAGGGAUACCCGCUGAACUUAA